rnacentral:rRNA from 1 species
UAGGGAAUCUUCGGCAAUGGACGGAAGUCUGACCGAGCAACGCCGCGUGAGUGAAGAAGGUUUUCGGAUCGUAAAGCUCUGUUGUAAGAGAAGAACGAGUGUGAGAGUGGAAAGUUCACACUGUGACGGUAUCUUACCAGAAAGGGACGGCUAACUACGUGCCAGCAGCCGCGGUAAUACGUAGGUCCCGAGCGUUGUCCGGAUUUAUUGGGCGUAAAGCGAGCGCAGGCGGUUAGAUAAGUCUGAAGUUAAAGGCUGUGGCUUAACCAUAGUAGGCUUUGGAAACUGUUUAACUUGAGUGCAAGAGGGGAGAGUGGAAUUCCAUGUGUAGCGGUGAAAUGCGUAGAUAUAUGGAGGAACACCGGUGGCGAAAGCGGCUCUCUGGCUUGUAACUGACGCUGAGGCUCGAAAGCGUGGGGAGCAAACAGGAUUAGAUACCCUGGUAGUCCACGCUGUAAACGAUGAGUGCUAGGUGUUAGACCCUUUCCGGGGUUUAGUGCCGUAGCUAACGCAUUAAGCACUCCGCCUGGGGAGUACGACCGUAAGGUUG